rnacentral:rRNA from 1 species
GAUGAACGCUAGCUACAGGCUUAACACAUGCAAGUCGAGGGGCAGCAUGAAAGGAACUUCGGUUCUUUUUGAUGGCGACCGGCGCACGGGUGCGUAACGCGUAUCGAACCUGCCUCAUACUCGGGGAUAGCCUUGCGAAAGUAAGAUUAAUACCCGGCGGUCUCGGAUGGCCGCAUGACUAUCCGAGUGAAGAUUUAUCGGUAUGAGAUGGCGAUGCGUCCCAUUAGCUAGUUGGUGAGGUAAUGGCUCACCAAGGCAUCGAUGGAUAGGGGUUCUGGAGAGGAAGGUCCCCCCACAUUGGAACUGAGACACGGUACCAA